ACAGUUGACCGGAAAGGAUUCUAGCAGACAUCAGAUUAUCGAUCGAAUAAAAUAUGCAAUAAGCUCAUGCUUCGGCGGCUUUAUAAUAUUUGCUGACGUUAUAAAGAAUACAAAGAGUGAAAAUGGAUGCACCUUUUAAGAAACUCGCUUCGGAGGCAGGAUCAUUUUUCAGUAGGGCAAAGCAGUUUACUGAAGAAGCGUUAGGUGGGAGUAGUACUGAAAAAACGCCUUUAGAUCCUCAUCUGGAACAGCUUUUGCAGCGAGCCGAUGCCACUAGAAAUCAUACAGAAAGAAUCGUUAAAGACACAGAAGGCCUUUUACAGCCGAAUCCCAGCGCUCGGCUCGAUAAAUUUGUAAAUGAUGCUCUAGAAAGAAAAUCCGGGAGAUUAACUGAAUCUGAAAACCUUGGCACGGGUAUGAUGGAUGCCGGAAAUGAGUUAGGUGGCCCGUAUGGAGCCGCCUUAGCUCGUGUAGGAAGAGCUGAACAACAACUUGGAGGAGCAGAAAAAGAAUUUCUAGCUUCGGCAAUGACAAGUUUUGUUCAACCUCUUCGAGCUUUUCUAGACGGAGAUAUGAAAACAAUACAAAAAGAACGUCGGAAUCUAAUAGCUAGGCGAUUGGAUUUAGAUGCGGCUAGAGGAAGGCAGAAACGAGCUGAGCAAGCAGCUGGAGGUCCUGGGAGUACCAGCGAAGAGUUAUUAAAAGCCGAAGCUGAUGUACGAAAUGCUCGUAGCGAAUUCGAGAGGCAAGCGGAAGUUACAAGAUUGCUUCUGGAGGGGAUGGGAAGCGCCCAUAACCACCAUCUGCGUUGCCUACACGAUUUCGUCGAUGCGCAGCAUUCAUUUUAUGCGCAAUGCGAAAGGAUCACAGCCCAACUUCAAAGGGAACUCGCUAGUUGCAACUUGGAAAUGGCUCCACCAGUAGUCAUCGGCAACGACACUAAUAUGCAGUAGGAGAUAUUCCUCUUGUUUCAAUUUUUCCGUUUCAAUAUGCUGCCAGUUUAUUUGAUGUUGUACGAAUUCUUAAUCUACUUAACAGUCUUACUCUAUAUCUCUUUUUCUCUAGUCAUUAUCUAAAGUGUGAUUUGUCGCUAGUUUACAAUGCCUUAGAACUCCUGUUAAACUCAAACACAAAAAUAUACUUUACUAAAAUGUCUAUGCCAAAAUUAAUUCUAUCAUAGCUGUGCAGACUUAAUAUCAUUGCGCUAACAAAAUUGAUUGUUUAUUUAUUGGGACAGAAAUGCCAUUAGAAAGUUAUUGCUUCUUAUUCUUUCCGGAGAGUUGUCUUUUCAAUAGAAUUUGAGUGAUUUUCUAUAGGAGAGAUUCUCGGAAGAUAUAAUAUGAAAUAUCGGUAAGCUCUUUUGUCAAUAGAUGUUAUUCAAUUAUUUAAAACUUCUUUUAUACUAAUACAACUAAAAUUUUAAGACAAGUAAUAAUAUGAAAACAAUAAUUGGCAGCCGGAAUUAUUACUGAUAUGUCUAUUAUAUAUGCUGCUUCUAUACUCUAUAUGCAUAAACUUACAACUAUUAGUCAUCAUCCUCAUCAAAUAAUAUCAUUUUCUAUUUGAGAUGAACACAAUACUAAUGAUUCGUAUUAAUAUUUAAAUAUUACAGUCUACCGCAAGUUCAAUAUUUCGCUGCAUGAUUGAGAAAGAGGAAUAGUGAUGCUUAAGACUUUCUAGAAGAAAGAACUGACUUAAGACGUCUAGAAAUUAUUCAAACAAUCUUACAUUUGCCCACUGUCUGAAUUCUUCCGGACUUGUUCUAAAUACGGGACCAUCAUAGAGAUUUACUCUAACAACAAAAGCAUCAAAAAAUGUUUUAUAGAACUAAGAGAUUUUCAAUGAAGGAAGAAGAUAUGGGCUUCGGUACUUAUUUCCUUUAUUACUACAGUAUAAACAAGCAUUUUAAAAGGAACAUAUAGGACUUCACAUUUGUUAUAUGAAAUUUUUUUCUAUACAGAUUACCGAAACCCCUCGAGAGGAAAUGUAGUAAUUCAUAAAUAUUUAUUACAUAAUAAUACAAUAUAAUAAUGAAAAUAUACAAAGAUCAUUAUUAAAAUAUCUUUUUUAUCAAUUAUCCUCUAAUUUCCGAAUUUUACUAGUCGAACAAUACGUUAUGCUUCAUCAGUUCUUUGAUAAAAUCAGAGUAUUCUCCUAUAACAAGAUUUUCUAAUUGAACUACAAUAUUUUUAGUCUGGUUGGCAUGACAAUAAUACAUUGUUU
rnacentral:misc_RNA from 1 species